rnacentral:rRNA from 1 species
UAUUGGUCAAUGGGGGAAACCCUGAACCAGCAAUGCCGCGUGAGGGAAGAAGGUCUUUGGAUUGUAAACCUAAGUAGUCAGGGCCGAAAGAAAUGACGGUACCUGAAGAGUAAGCCCCGGCUAACUACGUGCCAGCAGCCGCGGUAAUACGUAUGGUGCAAGCGUUAUCCGGAUUUACUGGGUGUAAAGGGAGCGUAGACGGAGCAGCAAGUCUGGAGUGAAAACCCGGGGCUCAACCCCGGGACUGCUUUGGAAACUGUUGUUCUAGAGUGCUGGAGAGGUAAGUGGAAUUCCUAGUGUAGCGGUGAAAUGCGUAGAUAUUAGGAGGAACACCAGUGGCGAAGGCGGCUUACUGGACAGUAACUGACGUUGAGGCUCGAAAGCGUGGGGAGCAA